rnacentral:rRNA from 1 species
GUGGGGAAUCUUGCGCAAUGGGCGGAAGCCUGACGCAGCAACGCCGCGUGGGGGAUGACGGCCUUCGGGUUGUAAACCUCUUUCGCGAUCGACGAAGGUCCACCUUUCUGGUGGGUUGACGGUAGGUCGAGAAGAAGCACCGGCCAACUACGUGCCAGCAGCCGCGGUAAUACGUAGGGUGCGAGCGUUGUCCGGAAUUAUUGGGCGUAAAGAGCUCGUAGGCGGUGUGUCACUUCGGCCGGGAAAACCUGGGGCUCAACUCUGGGCGUGCGGUCGAUACGGGCAUCACUUGAGUUCGGCAGGGGAGACUGGAAUUCCUGGUGUAGCGGUGAAAUGCGCAGAUAUCAGGAGGAACACCGGUGGCGAAGGCGGGUCUCUGGGCCGAUACUGACGCUGAGGAGCGAAAGCAUGGGUAGCGAACAGG